UGAAUACGAGACGCUAAGGCGUCGAAGUAGUGUAUGUCAUACUUCCAAGAAAAGCUUGCACUGUCAUAGAUAAAAAACGCCUGUACCAUAACCGACACAGGUGGGUAGGUAGAGUAUACUAAGGGGCGCGAGAUAACUCUCUCUAAGGAACUCGGCAAAAUAACUCCGUAACUUCGGGAGAAGGAGUGCCUUAUUCGUAAGGUUGCAAUAACAAGAUCCAAGCAACUGUUUAUCAAAAACACAGGUCUCCGCUAAGUCGUAAGACGAUGUAUGGGGGCUGACGCCUGCCCAGUGCCAGAAGGUUAAAGAAGUUGGUUAGCAAUUGCGAAGCUGAUAACUGAAGCCCUGGUGAACGGCGGCCGUAACGAUAACGGUCCUAAGGUAGCGAAAUUCCUUGUCGGGUAAGUUCCGACCCGCACGAAAGGCGUAAUGAUUUGGAUACUGUCUCGGAGAGGGGCUCGGUGAAAUAGACUUGUCUGUGAAGAUGCGGACUACCUGCACCAGGACAGAAAGACCCUAUGAAGCUUUACUGUAACUUGAAAUUGAAAUUGGACUUUAUUCGCGCAGUAUAGGUGGGAGGCGUUGAUUAUAAUCUUGUGGGAUUAUUGGAGCCAUCAGUGAGAUACCACUCUUGUAAUGUUAGAUUUCUAACUUUGAAUCAUUAUCUGGUCAAAGAACAGUUUCAGGCGGGCAGUUUGACUGGGGCGGUCGCCUCCUAAACGGUAACGGAGGCGUACAAAGGUUUCCUCUGAACGGUUAGGAAUCGUAUCUAGAGUGUAAAGGCAUAAGGAAGCUUGACUGUGAGACCUACAAGUCGAGCAGGGACGAAAGUCGGUCUUAGUGAUCUGACGGUACUGAGUGGAAAGGCCGUCACUCAACGGAUAAAAGUUACUCUAGGAUAACAGGCUGAUCUCCCCCAAGAGUUCACAUCGACGGGGAGGUUUGGCACCUCGAUGUCGGCUCAUCGCAUCCUGGGGCGGUAGUACGUCCCAAGGGUUGGGCUGUUCGCCCAUGAAAGCGGUACGCGAGCUGGGUUCAGAACGUCGUGAGACAGUUCGGUCCAUAUCCGGUGUAGGCGUUAGAAUAUUGAGAGGAGCCUUCUUUAGUACGAGAGGACCGAGAAGGACAUACCUCUGGUGUACCAGUUAUCGUGCCAACGGUAAACGCUGGGUAGCUAUGUAUGGAGUGGAUAACCGCUGAAAGCAUCUAAGUGGGAAGCCCACCUCAAGAUAAGUAUUCC
rnacentral:rRNA from 1 species